rnacentral:rRNA from 1 species
AAACCCCGGGAAAACUGGGGAUAUAUCCCCGAUAGGUGAGGACUCCUGGAAGGGUCUUCCUCUUAAAAGGUAUUGGAUCCAUGUUUUACGAUCUUGCCUAAGGAUGGGGCCACGUCCGAUCAGGUUGUUGGUGAGGUAAUGGCUCACCAAGCCUUUAACCGGUUCCGGGCCGUGAGAGCGGGAGCCCGGAGAUGGGCACUGAGACAAGGGCCCAGGCCCUACGGGGCGCAGCAGUUGCGAAAACUUCGCAAUACGCGAAAGCGUGACGGGGUUAUCCCGAGUGCCGUCCGUUGAGGAUGGCUUUUUUCUAGUGUAAAUAGCCGGGGGAAUAAGGGGGGGGCAAGACUGGUGUCAGCCGCCGCGGUAACACCAGCUCUCCGAGUGGUGGGGAUGUUUAUUGGGCUUAAAGCGUCCGUAGCUGGCUCGAUAAGUCUUUCGUUAAAUCCAGCGAUUUAAUCGUUGGGCCGCGAGGGAGACUGUUAGGCUAGGGGGCGGGAGAGGUCGACGGUAUUUCCGGGGUAGGGGUGAAAUCCUAUAAUCCCGGGAGGACCACCAGUGGCGAAGGCUGUCGGCUAGAACGCGCUCGACGGUGAGGGACGAAAGCUGGGGGAGCGAACCGGAUUAGAUACCCGGGUAGUCCCAGCUGUAAACGAUGCAGGCUAGGUGUUGGGGCGGCCACGAGCCGCUUCAGUGCCGCAGGGAAGCUAUUAAGCCUGCCGCCUGGGAAGUACGGUCGCAAGGCUGAAACUUAAAGGAAUUGGCGGGGGAGCACCACAAGGCGUGAAGCUUGCGGUUUAAUUGGAGUCAACGCCGGAAAUCACUAGU